CUAUAGGUGCGCCGCUAGUGAACGAUCAGUUGGAUUUUUUAUCUGGAGCUCUCUAGUCAGGCCAAAACAGCUCUGGUAAUCUCUGAAAAAUUCACUUCCCAAAUUCCAAUUUAACACCUUAAGUUUUUCCGUUUCUGAAUCCGUGAAGCCUAGCAACAAUAUGUGCGGUUAUGGAUGCGGUCCCUAUGGCUACGGACCUUCGGGUCCUUGUGGACCAUGGUGCGGACCCUGGUGUAGUCCUUGCGCCCUCUCGCUAGGACCCUAUACCUGCUGUGGACCCAGUGGAUGCGGACCAAGCGGCCCAGCGUGUUGGCCGUAUGGCUUGUACACAUGCUAGGCUUCAGAAGGAUGUCAGAAACGUGUGAGCCAUUACCCAAGAAAUGUAAUACAAGCUCGGACCAUGGCAAUUACAUUGGAUAACAUAAUAAAAAUAA